rnacentral:rRNA from 1 species
AAAUGACGGUACCUGACUAAGAAGCCCCGGCUAACUACGUGCCAGCAGCCGCGGUAAUACGUAGGGGGCAAGCGUUAUCCGGAUUUACUGGGUGUAAAGGGAGCGUAGACGGCACGGCAAGCCAGAUGUGAAAGCCCGGGGCUCAACCCCGGGACUGCAUUUGGAACUGUUGAGCUAGAGUGUCGGAGAGGCAAGUGGAAUUCCUAGUGUAGCGGUGAAAUGCGUAGAUAUUAGGAGGAACACCAGUGGCGAAGGCGGCUUGCUGGACGAUGACUGACGUUGAGGCUCGAAAGCGUGGGGAGCAAACAGGAUUAGAUACCCUGGUAGUCCACGCCGUAAACGAUGACUGCUAGGUGUCGGGUGGCAAAGCCAUUCGGUGCCGCAGCUAACGCAAUAAGCAGUCCACCUGGGGAGUACAUUCGCAAGAAUGAAACUCAAAG